rnacentral:lncRNA from 1 species
GAUAGUAAAAGAGUUUCAAAGUAGGAUGUAUAUUUUAUGCCGACUCUAUUCCAAGACUAUUAAUAUUUUACUUAUCAUAUCAAUUUCUUAUAUUUUGACUAAAAAUUAUUUGGAUUUUUAUCAAUUCUAGGAUAAUGGGGGUGUAAGAUCUACACUUCCCUAUUUAGAUGUACAAGAAGCAUUUUUCAUAGUAAAAUAAAUGCAAAAUGCUAACU